UGGCCACAUCAUAUUACAACACCAGUUCCUGUAUGACUUCUGAAGUUAAGCAACAUUGAGCCUGGUCAGUACCUAGAUGGGUGACCACUUUGGAAUAGCAGAUGCUGUAAG